ACGUCUACCUAGAACUCCCAACAGUGGCUGGGAGAGAGCUCAGUGGGCAGGAAAUCCAUGCUUGCUUUGCUCACAGGAGAUCCAGUUUGAGCCCCAGCACCUCAUGGUUCCCCCUGAGUAUGGGCAGCAGUCACCAGGAAUGCAGACCAGGGAGUAGCCCCUGAGCACUAUUGGAUCUGGCCCUAGCAUAAGGAAAAUGGCAAAAGAAUGCAUUGCGUCCAGGUUUUUCCAGUGGAUUCUCUACUUUGCUAUCCCAGUCACAAGUUUCACCAACCUUAACUUCCUGCACAUGAUCCUUGUGAAGACCUUCCACUGAUUCUUUCACAGAUUCUG